AUAAAUUAUUCUGAUUAUUCAGAUACCCUUACCUCUGCAACAUUAGCUCACGCUUGCUGUAUGMGUCUGGGGUUUAGGUUUCUGCUCUCUGUGGUUUUGUAGUGAAYRAGCUCCACAUCUACUUCUCUAUUCAAACAAUCCUCUGACUCAGUCACACACCUUACUGUGAAGUCAGACUAACAGUAUGUAGCUGUCUGACAAAUGGCAUUGUUCAUCCCUGAUAUGGCUGGUCAUCUGUUCUUGGUCAUCCUCCUUUUUGAUACCUUCCAAUCCAUCAAAGCCCAAGGCCCUCCUCUUCCCAGGUUGACAGUGAGUCCUGAAGUCAUCAGAGAGAGAGACACAGUUCAGCUGAGAUGUCACACUUCUCAAUCUACCUCUGUGUCUCAGUGUUACUUCUACAUAGAGGAAAGACAACAUUUCCAACAUUUCAACAUACCACAUCCUGUCAUCAGUCACUCACAGGGAACAAGCUGCUUGAAUGGGCAGGUCGUGGUCCAACCAUCAAGGUCAACAUGAGAUGUAUCUACUAUGCUGUAGAGAUGUCUAUGUACUCUCCUUACAGUGACCCUGUCUCAGUCACUCUCCUGGACCUCCCUCAGCCCAAGCUGACAGUGAGUUCUACAGUCAUCAGAGAGAGAGACUCAGUUCAGCUGAGCUGUGACUCUCCUCCAUCUGUCUCUGUGUCUCAGUGUUACUUCUACACAGAGGGGAGAGGUCCUAAACCCUCACCCUGUACGAGGUCACUCACGGGGGCUGAGCUAUAUAUACCGACUAUUUAGUUCUUACUCUUUUUGUUAUCUAGUACAGAAAGAGUUGUGUAUUCUCAUUAACCUACAGUAUGGACAGUUAUUGAUGUCUUCUCCUCACAGGUAAACUGCAGAAACCAGACAUUAGUGUCAAUGACGAAUCUUCUCAUGACAUCACCAUUAUUUGUGUACUUCCUGAGUCUGUCAGUGAUGGUCAUAGCUGUAACCUGUACACUGGAGACCAGCCUCAGGCCUACAAAGAGGCUUGGGUCAGGAGAUUUAACACAGCAUUAUCCAAACUAUUCUGUACCUUCAAUGUUACUAAGAAUGAUCUGUUCAGGCAUCUGCAGUUGGAAAGAGAUGUGGGCUGUGACUACAGAGUGAACACAGGAUCACUCUCUCUGUCUCCCCGCAGUGAUCAAUACAUUAUUACAGGUCAGAAACCAAAUAUUACAGUUAGUCUGAAAGAGAACCUCAUCAUCACCUGUUUAAUUCCUGGCUCUGUCAGUAAUGACACCACCUGUAACCUGUAUGUUGGAGAGCAGAGUAAGCGUCUUUUUAGAGCACACGUCUGGAAGAAGAAACACACAGAUUCCAAAUGCUGGUUCUGUCAAUUCUCUGUGGAUGAGAAUGAUCUUAUUAGAAGUCUACAGUCAGUGAGGAGUAAGGAGGUGAGCUGUGACUACAGCGUGAGCUCAGGACCAAACUCUCUCUCACCACGCAGUGAUGGGUACAGCUUUACAGGUGAGUCAUUAUCUAUACA